GAUGAACGCUGGCGGCGUGCCUAAUACAUGCAAGUCGAGCGAACAGACGAGGAGCUUGCUCCUCUGACGUUAGCGGCGGACGGGUGAGUAACACGUGGAUAACCUACCUAUAAGACUGGGAUAACUUCGGGAAACCGGAGCUAAUACCGGAUAAUAUAUUGAACCGCAUGGUUCAAUAGUGAAAGACGGUUUUGCUGUCACUUAUAGAUGGAUCCGCGCCGCAUUAGCUAGUUGGUAAGGUAACGGCUUACCAAGGCAACGAUGCGUAGCCGACCUGAGAGGGUGAUCGGCCACACGGGAACUGAGACACGGUCCAGACUCCUACGGGAGGCAGCAGAAGGGAAUCUUCCGCAAUGGGCGAAAGCCUGACGGAGCAACGCCGCGUGAGUGAUGAAGGUCUUCGGAUCGUAAAACUCUGUUAUUAGGGAAGAACAAAUGUGUAAGUAACUAUGCACGUCUUGACGGUACCUAAUCAGAAAGCCACGGCUAACUACGUG
rnacentral:rRNA from 1 species